rnacentral:tmRNA from 2 species
GGGGGCGAAUUUGGUUUCGACGGGGAUGUGGAGUAAAGAGCAGCGAGUCGUUGUCGCCAAGCAACGUUAAAAGUGGCAACUUAAAAUUAAACGCAGACGAUAAUUACGCAUUAGCUGCCUAGUUAGGUAGCCGUCCUACUUGAGAAUCCCACGACUUGAGAUAGGGCGUCAAUUUAGUGGGGACCCGAGCCCUACAAAGCUUUGAGUAGGGAACGGAAAUCAUGAAGCUACUGAAGCUUGAACCCUGUCAGUAGGGGUCAAGUAGAGGGAAUGAAAAAAUACUGACUGCACUCGGAGAAGCUCUUUAUAAAGCGUUUUCGGACGUGGGUUCGACACCCACCGCCUCCACCA